GGCCUCAUAGCUCAGUUGGUUAGAGCGAUGGUUGUACAGAAGCCCUUUCUUGCUGUCGUAGGUUCGAAUCUCACCGAGGCCA
rnacentral:tRNA from 1 species